AGGCUAAUAACUUAGUUGGUUAGAGUGUACAUUUGAUAAGUGUAAAGUCAAUGGUUCAAAUCCAUUUUAGCCUA
rnacentral:tRNA from 1 species